rnacentral:rRNA from 1 species
UUUGACCUCGGAUCAGGUAGGGAUACCCGCUGAACUUAAGCAUAUCAAUAAGCGGAGGAAAAGAAACCAACAGGGAUUGCCCUAGUAACG